CUUUCCUAAUCUGCACAUUCCUAAUCUUCUUCUACGCUGACAACUCCAAACCCACUUUCUUUCGCCGGUGAGAUGGGAGCAAGGAAUCGAAGACGCAGCUGCAACAUCAAGAUCUUGACUGUUGAUAUUCAGAGUGAAGCUAUAUCCAAGGAGUAAUCAAAUCUGAAGAAACCGAACCUCCCCAAUCAUUUUCAACAAAAUCGAAGAUCUGCUAGUUCCGCAAGAAUCGAGGAAAAGCGAAGAAAGCCAUCUGUACCUCUGAUUUUGUCACCUGAUGUGCAACUACCUCCUGCAAAGUUGCAUUUGGAUCAGUUUGAGGUUGAUGGGUCUCUCCAACUUGAGAUGACCAAGGUGAGAGCCCCUGUUUCUCGAUGUUCAGUUGCACAUUUUGGUGCUUUUUGAUUUUUGGCAUUCCAUUGAGCAAGGUUCCCUACUACCUUUCCACUUGACAACAUUUUAGGAGGAUAACUGUUUCUUCUUCUCUUUCCAUGAUCAUCACUUGUUGCUGCUGGUUGUAUUCUUGAUUCUUCCACAUUGUUCUCCAUUUUUCCUUUGUCCUUGUCAUUUUCUUUUGCCUUGUUGUUCUCCACCUUUGGUGCUCUUAUUUUGCCAAAGUUUUAAAAGGUCUUAAUUGCCAUUUGCCAAUUUGUUUUUCGAAUUUUUGUGUGUUUAGGCUCUCCAUGUGCCUUAGAUGGAUGAGCAUGGCCUUUUCUGUCAUGUCAACAGUUACGGGGUAGUUUCACUCUAAAUAAUGGAACGUGUUUUUCAGGGCAAGUUUGAGGGUAAGUUAAAAGGUCAAAUCCAAUAUCUGUGCUCGUCCGAUUCUUUUACUUUAAUAUCUUAAUUAAACUUUAUUUCAUUUAGAUAUUUGAGGUAGGGUCCGACUGUGCCAUUUAGAUACUUUUAACUGAUUUGGCAACUUGUAUGAUUUGCACACUAAACUGGUGCGUGAAAAGCUCAAUAAACAGAUUUUUUCUUUUUUCUUUUUAAUUCUUUUUAUUUCCUUCUUCUUCUUCUUCUUCUUCAUUUUUUUCUCUCUUUCUUCUCCAUUUAACAAACCUUCCAGCAUUUGCUAUCUUGUUCACUGAAAAAAAUCAAGACCGCCACCAUCCUCUUUCUCCCUAUGCAUUUACAGGACAAGAAAAAUGAUUUUUCUUUGGAUAAAUCUAUUUAAUAAAUAAAAGAAAAAUAAAAUACCCAAAAAGAUUUUUUUUUUUUUGUUUAUUAUUAAUGGAGUCUUUAGAAAGGUUGAAGAUUUAAAAUAGGUUAAUUGAUUUAAUGAAAAGUUUGAGAAAUUAAUGUUGUAUUGUCUUUAGGUCUUCGUAGGGAAUCUUUAGCUGAAGUUAUAACAAAUUUAGAGGAUUUUCUCUUGAAAUUUGAAUUAAAAUCGUGGUUGUAACAAGAACAACAUAAAGAUGGUGAAGAACACCAAGAACAACUAUUCAUUUCAGAAUUUUCAAUGUGUCCUUUAUUUCU